GGCAACGGGGUGAGUAACGCGUGAGUAACCUGCCCUAGAGUGGGGGACAACAGUUGGAAACGACUGCUAAUACCGCAUAAGCCCACGGUGCCGCAUGACACUGAGGGAAAAGGAUUUAUUCGCUUUAGGAUGGACUCGCGUCCAAUUAGCUAGUUGGUGAGGUAACGGCCCACCAAGGCGACGAUUGGUAGCCGGACUGAGAGGUUGAACGGCCACAUUGGGACUGAGACACGGCCCAG
rnacentral:rRNA from 1 species